CAGAAAGUGGGUCCUUUCCCCACAGUGCCCCAUCUCAUCUGAUCUCAGAAGCUAAGCAGGGUCAGGCCUGGUUAGUACUUGGAUGGAAGGAAAACAAUUAUAGAUGGCAGACCUUCCACCUUCUGC
rnacentral:rRNA from 1 species